AUCAUGUUGCUCCUAGCAUCUGAUGUAUUAGAAGUUGUAGAAAGCAAACUUGAUGUGUCUUUCUUUGCUUCUCGUUUCAUCAAUGUCUGAUAGAAUUCAACAAGUUCAGGAGCUCGGUGAACUUUAUCGCCACUGCCUGCCCCUCUAGGUAGGCUGCCUGGAGGAGGAGGCGGAGGUGGUCGUCCACCAGGAGGUGGCGGUGGCGGUGGUGGCGCACCAGGUGGUGGAGGUUGUCCUGCUGCAGUGGUAUUUGCAUCAGCAGAAAUGCCACUGGAUGGCUUUGGUGGUGGUCUGGCCACCCUAGGUGGUCUCUUUUCAAUGUGGGCAAGUUUCAUCUUGCUGAUAGUUUGAGAGUCUACAGCCUUAUCGUCAUUGGAU
rnacentral:lncRNA from 1 species